rnacentral:rRNA from 1 species
AUACGUAGGGGGCGAGCGUUGUCCGGAAUGAUUGGACGUAAAGGGCGCGUAGGCGGCCCGGUAAGUCUGGAGUGAAAGUCCUGUUUUUAAGAUGGGAAUUGCUUUGGAUACUGUCGGGCUUGAGUGCAGGAGAGGGAAGUGGAAUUCCCAGUGUAGCGGUGAAAUGCGUAGAGAUUGGGAGGAACACCAGUGGCGAAGGCGACUUACUGGACUGUAACCGACGCUGAGGCGCGAAAGUGUGGGGAGCAAACAGGAUUAGAUACCCUGGUAGUCCACACUGUAAACGAUGAAUGCUAGGUGUAGGGGGUAUCGACCCCUUCUGUGCCGCAGUCAACACAAUAAGCAUUCCGCCUGGGGAGUACGGCCGCAAGGUUGAAACUCAAAUGAAUUGACGGGG